AGUGAACGCUGGCGGUAUGCCUAACACAUGCAAGUCGAACGACAACACAGUAAGCUUUUUCUUUUACCGUUGGCGAGUGGCGGGUGGGUAACGCGUACAUCACCUUCUUCUUUUUCGUGGGUGAUAUCGUAGGGCCACUUCCGCUACUACCUCAUACGUCCUACGGCUUGAAUCAGUGGAUCUUCAUGCCUUUCCUGAUUCAUUUAGCCGAUGUCGGAUUAGCUAGUUGGCAGGGUAAAGUCACACCAAGGCGACGAUCCGUAGCUGGUCUGAGAGGAUGAUCAGCCACACUGGAACUGAGACACGGUCCAGACUCCUACGGGAGGCAGCAGUGGGGAAUAUUGGGCAAUGGGCGAAAGCCUGAUCCAGCAAUACCGCGUGAGUGAAGAAGGUCUUCGGGUCGUAAAGCCCUGUUGUUGGGAAAGAAAAGAAGCAGAAGAAAAUGCGGAUGUUCUGACGGUACCCAAAGAAAAAGCACCGGCUAACUUCGUG
rnacentral:rRNA from 1 species